UACCAGCACCCCGAGUGGUCGGGACGUUUUAUUGGGCCUAAAGCAUCCGUAGCCGGUCCUACAAGUCUUCCGUUAAAUCCACCUGCUUAACAGAUGGGCUGCGGAAGAUACUAUAGGGCUAGGAGGCGGGAGAGGCAAGCGGUACUCAGUGGGUAGGGGUAAAAUCCUCUGAUCCAUUGAAGACCACCAGUGGCGAAGGCGGCUUGCCAGAACGCGCUCGACGGUGAGGGAUGAAAGCUGGGGGAGCAAACCGG
rnacentral:rRNA from 1 species